GUGGCUGCUGUGAUGCUAUGGUAAAGGGAUUUUCUGAGGGAAGGAACUUCGUUUUCUUCCUCCUGAUUGAUAGAAACCAAUGGAUCCUUCUGAGCCUGCCA